rnacentral:rRNA from 1 species
AAGACAUGCAAGUCGAACGGGAUUAUUUUUGUAGCAAUACAGAAAUAAUUCAGUGGCGAACGGGUGCGUAACACGUGGGCAAUCUGCCGAAAAGUGGGGGAUAGCUCGCCGAAAGGCGAAUUAAUACCGCAUGUGGUGAGGGACGACAUCUUCCUGAAUCCAAAGCCGGGGUAACCUGGCGCUUUUUGAGGAGCCCGCGGCCUAUCAGCUAGUUGGCGGGGUAACGGCCCACCAAGGCUAUGACGGGUAGCUGGUCUGAGAGGACGACCAGUCACACUGGAACUGAGACACGGUCCAGACACCUACGGGUGGCAGCAGUCGAGAAUUUUUCUCAAUGGGGGAAACCCUGAAGGAGCGACGCCGCGUGGAGGAUGAAGGCUUUCGGGUUGUAAACUCCUGUCAUUUGGGAACAAGUUGUACGUGUUUACUGCACGUGCAUUGAUAGUACCAGAAGAGGAAGGGACGGCUAACUCUGUGCCAGCAGCCGCGGUAAUACAGAGGUCCCAAGCGUUGUUCGGAUUCAUUGGGCGUAAAGGGUGCGUAGGUGGCGCCGUAAGUCGGGUGUGAAAUUUCGGAGCCUAACUCCGAAACUGCAUUCGAUACUGCGGUGCUUGAGGACUGGA